CUAAGUGAGCUUGACUGUGGAGAAAACUCCACAGUUAAGCGCGCUUGAGCCAGAGGCGUAUUGGGAUGGGUGACCACCUGGGAAGUCCUGGUUACCGGGU
rnacentral:rRNA from 1 species